rnacentral:rRNA from 1 species
GACGAACGCUGGCGGCGUGCUUAACACAUGCAAGUCGAACGGAAAGACCCUGCUUUUGUGGGGUGCUCGAGUGGCGAACGGGUGAGUAACACGUGAGUAACCUGCCCUUGACUUUGGGAUAACUUCAGGAAACUGGGGCUAAUACCGGAUAGGAGCUCCUGCUGCAUGGUGGGGGUUGGAAAGUUUCGGCGGUUGGGGAUGGACUCGCGGCUUAUCAGCUUGUUGGUGGGGUAGUGGCUUACCAAGGCUUUGACGGGUAGCCGGCCUGAGAGGGUGACCGGCCACGUUGGGACUGAGAUACGGCCCAGACUCCUACGGGAGGCAGCAGUGGGGAAUAUUGCACAAUGGGCGGAAGCCUGAUGCAGCAACGCCGCGUGCGGAAUGACGGCCUUCGGGUUGUAAACCGCUUUCGCCUGUGACGAAGCGUGAGUGACGGUAAUGGGUAAAGAAGCACCGGCUAACUACGUG